UACGGGGGGGGCAAGCGUUGUUCGGAAUUACUGGGCGUAAAGGGCUCGUAGGUGGCCAACUAAGUCAGACGUGAAAUCCCUCGGCUUAACCGGGGAACUGCGUCUGAUACUGGAUGGCUUGAGUUCGGGAGAGGGAUGCGGAAUUCCAGGUGUAGCGGUGAAAUGCGUAGAUAUCUGGAGGAACACCGGUGGCGAAGGCGGCAUCCUGGACCGACACUGACGCUGAGGUGCGAAAGCCAGGGGAGCGAACGGG
rnacentral:rRNA from 1 species